GCGGGGCGGAACUGCGCGUGCGCACAGACGAGGCGCGACCCUGAGGACGGUUGAAAGAUGGCGACUGUCGCCGAGCUGAAGGCCGUUUUAAAGGACACGUUGGAGAAAAGGGGGGUAUUAGGGCAUUUAAAAGCAAGGAUCCGAGCUGAAGUUUUCAAUGCCCUAGAUGAUGAAAGCGAACCCCGACCGUCAUUGUCUCAUGAAAACCUUCUAAUUAAUGAACUAAUUCGGGAGUAUCUGGAAUUCAACAAGUAUAAGUACACAGCAUCUGUCCUCAUAUCAGAAUCUGGUCAACCUGUAGUUCCAUUGGACAGACAGUUUCUCAUCCGGGAACUAAAUGCAUUUGAAGAAUCAAAGGAUAACACAAUACCUCUUUUAUAUGGAAUUUUAGCUCAUUUCUUGGAUGGAACUAAGGAUGACCUCCAAAAUCCAUUUCUGAGAGGGUCUUCACUUCAGCCUUCAAACCCAAAUCUUGGCGAACAACCUAGCAGAAGAAAGCAUAAGGUUGAGAAAACCAGGACUGAGAUAUUAAGUGAGUCCUGUAAAGCGUGUGGCUGAUCUGUUCUCGCAGGAUCAGGACCUCUGAGGGCCAUUCCUGUACACUUCUCCACUUAAAGAAUGUAAAGAAGUUUUCCUAGUUCCCUUUGCAAGGCUUGGUAAGGAACUGUCAUUAGUGCCUACAAUUUGACAAGUACUUAAAAAGUGAAACAAAAUGCACAAGGGGACAAGUAAAAUCUGUAAGUGUUCAAAUAAUAAAAAAAUCAAAUUCUCUUGAAUCGCUUCCCUUUUGUCUCUCCCUAACUCCCUGAUCUCCCUCCCUUCUGUGGAAGGUCCCUAUUAGCAGCUUGGGGGCAGGGGCCUCCUUCCGGAGUCAUUUCUGUGCAUGUAAAUUUGUAUGUACCGCUACUUGACAUGUUACCCUGAGAUUGGGUUUGUUUUCCCUUGUCUUGUCAGUAUGUGUAGAUCUUAACUUUAUGUAGUAUUGUAUAGUAUUGCUGCUAAUCCCUUAUUGAUGGACUUUUAUAUUUUUACGUUUUUGCUAUUACUGUAUUGCAAUACAGAAUUAUUUCUUUGUCCGUGCAGUAUUUCUCUUGUGUGGACGCCUAAAAGUACAGUUGUGGUUCCAAGCGUAUGCGUAUUAAAAAAACAUAGUAGAGGUUGUCUAAUCCCCCUCCAAGAAGGCUUUACAUGCCAAGAAUAUAUGAUAAUACCAGUUUCUCUGUUUAAUUGCCACCAGGGGAUGUUGUACAUGUGAACGCUGGCUAAGACAGCAAACCCAUGACAUGGAUACUUUCAGUCCUGUAAGGAAAAAUAACCUCUUGAGCAAUCAAUUUUCUGGCUUGUAAGCUUUUUAUUUUUUUAUUUUUUUAUUUUUAAAAAAUAUUUUAUUUAUUUAUAUGACAGAGCUCACAAGUAGGCAGAGAGGCAGGCAGAGAGAGAUGGAGAAGCAGGCUCCCUGCUGAGCAGAGAGCCCAAUGCGGGGCUUAAUCCUAGGAAUCUGAGAUCAUGACCUGAGCUGAAGGCAGAGGCUUAACCCACUGAGCCACCCAGGCGCCCCUAAACUUUUUGUUUUUACUGAUUGAUUUAUUUUCAGGUGUACAAUACAGUAAUUCCACGCUUCUAUACAACACCCCAGUGCUCAUCACCUUAAGUGUCUUCUUCCUUAAUCCCUGUUACGUGGGAACCAUCAGUGUAUUCUCUAGAGUUAAGAGUGUCUUUUUUGGGGAUGCCUGGGUGGCUCAGUUGGUUAAGCAGCUGCUUUCGGCUCAGGUCAUGAUCCCGGCGUCCUGGGAUCGAGUCCCACAUCGGGCUCCUUGCUCCGCGGGGAGCCUGCUUCUCCCUCUGCCUCUGCCUGCCACUCUGUCUGCCUGUGCUCACUCUCGCUCUCUCUCUCUGACUAAAUAAAUAAAAUCUUUAAAAAAAAAAAAAAAGAGUGUCUUUUUUUUUUUUUUUAAGAUAUUAUUUAUUUAUUUGACAGACAGAGAGAGAGGGGGAAGCAGGCUCCCCACCGAGCAGAGAGCCUGAUGCAGGGCUCGGUCCCAGGACCCCAAGAUCACGACCUGAGCCGAAGGCAGAGGCUCAACCCACGAAGUCACCCAGGUGACCACCUAAGAACGGAGAAGGGGAGUAGUACUAACAUCAAAGAUCAUCUUGUUUCUCAAGCAGUGAAGAGAUGACAUUUCCAUUCAGGGCAUCUUUUGUCUUAAAAUUGUGUGUAUCAAGUAACAUAUUUACUCUCGCAACAUUACCAAAAUACACCACUAAUAUUUGUCCUUUGUAGAAAUUUGAGUUUCUGCAAAAACAUUUAGUCCUUCCUGUUUUGCUACAUUUGUGAAUAAAAGCUAAUUCCGUCAUCUAGCUUCCUAGAUUUGACUCGAAAGAAAAUACAUUGUUUUUUUAGAAGGUAUUUUGAAGGUUUUUAAAUUUGUGAAAACUGGAGGAAAUUUUUAGUACCCCUUAUAUUCUUUAAAAAAAAAAAAAUUCAGGUCUUUAUAGCCAUAUGUUCUGCUCUUUAACAAGGUUACAUGAAAUUUCCUUCAGGCUGGAAUUACAUGGAUUUGUAGAAAAAUCCAUUUGUGUUUUAAAAAAAACGUUUUAAAAAAAUGUUAAAGCCUGAUAAAAUGAAUUCCUGUGAAGUUCAGUUUUUUGUUUACAAUUAGCAGUUUUUCAGAUAACCAUUUAUAAUUUGGUUUAAAUAUCUGAAUUACUAUCCAAAUCUGUACUUUUAAACUAGGUAACAAUGUGCUUUUUCUUUCCUUAGACCAUUUUGGCUUCUACUGGAAGAUUUAAUUAAAAGGUAGAGGGGGAAAUAAUUCUUUUAAUUUUGCUGUAAGUCAAACAAAGAGUUUAUUUUAUUAUAUAAAGAAUGUGGAAUAAGCAUGAAGAGACAGGGUUUAGGAGAAAUACCAGAAAGCACCUUUUAAAAGAUGGCAUUGUUUAACCUCCAUGCGGCCCUCAGUUGUGCAAUCACAAAAUGAGCUCCGGAAGAGCCAGUCCCUGCUUACCUGGACUCACUGCAUGUCAGUUUUUUAUUUUUGGGUUAGAAAAAUGGUUAGAAAAAUGGUAAGAGCUCUUCCUGUACUAUGUCUAAAAUGCUAUUUUGAUAUUUACGAAGACAUUUUUAUAACGUGGAGGCUGAAGACUGAUGUCACUGAGGACAGCUGUGAUGAUAGCCCUGGUUGGCCAAAGUCAUAAAGUAUAAUCCGACAGAACCGCACAGGUGCCCACAUACCGAUGACAUUGAGCUUGAGUGUUUUCCACAGGGCAAGAGCAAAGGGCUGUAGAUGGCAAAAUUGGCCUUCUCUUCAGGGUGUUGAUUCAGUGCUGUCUUUUCAAAGUUUUGAGUUUCUCUUUGGUGUUGGUAAAGUGUUCUGUCCUUACAGAUGAACCAAGAAUUUUUAUCUGAAUGCAGAAAAUUAUUAAAGAAAUCCCAUUAAGCCAUACUUUGCAAGUGAGAGGAUUCUGAGAGGCCCUGUUGAUGAGCUAGGAUUACAGAAGAGAUAUACUCUUGGGGCUCAUUUCCAUUUUUCACAUCAAAUCUGUAGUAUCUGGUAACAAUUAGGAAUCGUGUUGUAUUGUAUGUGGGAAUAUAAAUGUCUGAAUUCUUUUCAGAGGACUUGGUUUACAUCCAAGGAUGUUGGCAGUGGACACUAAGUUUACCUCAGGAAUUACAAUCAUGCAGGACUAGAUUAAGAAAAAAUGCUGGAGUUUAUAAUUUUGGUUACUGAUAGAAAAUCGUCACAAUACAAAACUAAACGGAAUUGUCCCAUGUCGUUCACAGCAUGUUUAUAUGCAUUGUUGUGUAACUUGUUUGAACCUGGGCAACUUUUAUACUUUUCAAUGUAUUAAUAAAAGAACGAUUAAGCAAC